rnacentral:sRNA from 1 species
AUUUAAGUAUCUCCGCUACUUCACUCGCACUAUCCUUGAUGCUAGCCACUGACCAGUGGUUAGGAGCAAGUGAUCACAACCUUAACAUUUUUAUGGAAAAUUGGAGCCUUGACCUGGGGAUAACGUGAAACCCACGAGCUGCACGUUUCUCUGUAGACUGCAUCUGGACACCUGUCACGUUGCCGACUGGGUCUGACAGUCAUCGCCAGGACUGCCUGGGCCUGUGUUCAUUCCCAGUCAAUGAGUCCUGGGACACAGACGUCCCGGACUCGUGCCUGGUGCCAGGCCUCGUGCCUGCCCAAGGAUGCAGACACACCCGCCAUCAUCAUGCAAGUGCCAGGAGCUCUUCUCAGCACUUACGUGUGGGAACUCGAGUAAUCUCACACCCUAGGAGGUGGCACUACUGUCACCCCAGUGUGCAGAUGAGGAAUCAGAGGCCAGAAAAGGGGGUGACCUCACUCACACAGCAAGCAUGUUGCAGAGCUGGAGUCCAGGCCAUCAUUCUGAACCUGCCCCUGGCUGGGCCAUUGUACCUUGU